rnacentral:rRNA from 1 species
CUCACGAAGGGGUGUAUUUAUUAGAUAAAAAACCAACGCCCUUCGGGGCUCCUUGGUGAAUCAUAAUAACUUAACGAAUCGCAUGGCCUUGCGCCGGCGAUGGUUCAUUCAAAUUUCUGCCCUAUCAACUUUCGAUGGUAGGAUAGUGGCCUACCAUGGUGGCAACGGGUAACGMGGGAAUUAGGGUUCGAUUCCGGAGAGGGAGCCUUAGAAACGGCUACCACAUCCAAGGAAGGCAGCAGGCGCGCAAAUUACCCAAUCCCGAUACGGGGAGGUAGURACAAUAAAUACUGAUACGGGGCUCUUUUAGGUCUCGUAAUUGGAAUGAGAACAAUUUAAAUCCCUUAACGAGGGACAAUUGGAGGGCAAGUCUGGUGCCAGCAGCCGCGGUAAUUCCAGCUCCAAUAGCGUAUAUUAAAGUUGUUGCAGUUAAAAAGCUCGUAGUUGAACCUUGGGUCUGGCUGGCCGGUCCGCCUCACCGSGAGUACURGUMCGGCUGGAC